UACGGAGGGUGCGAGCGUUGUCCGGAAUCACUGGGCGUAAAGGGCACGUAGGUGGCCGAGCAAGGUUGCGGUGAAAGCCCGGGGCUCAACCCCGGGUCGGCCGUGGCAACUACUCGGCUUGAGCACUGUAGGGGCGGGUGGAAUUCCGGGUGUAGCGGUGGAAUGCGUAGAGAUCCGGAAGAACACCGGUGGCGAAGGCGGGUCUCUGGGCCGAUACUGACGCUGAGGAGCGAAAGCGUGGGGAGCGAACAGG
rnacentral:rRNA from 1 species